GUAGGUGGCAAGCGUUGUCCGGAAUUAUUGGGCGUAAAGCGCGCGCAGGCGGUCCUUUAAGUCUGAUGUGAAAGCCCACGGCUCAACCGUGGAGGGUCAUUGGAAACUGGGGGACUUGAGUACAGAAGAGGAAAGCGGAAUUCCAAGUGUAGCGGUGAAAUGCGUAGAGAUUUGGAGGAACACCAGUGGCGAAGGCGGCUUUCUGGUCUGUAACUGACGCUGAGGCGCGAAAGCGUGGGGAGCAGACAGGGAUUAGAUACCCUGGUAGUCCACGCCGUAAGCGAUGAGUGCUAAGUGUUAGGGGGUUUCCGCCCCCUUAGUGCUGCAGCUAACGCAUUAAGCACUCCGCCUGGGGAGUACGGCCGCAAGGCUG
rnacentral:rRNA from 1 species